rnacentral:rRNA from 1 species
ACGCGAAGAACCUUACCAGGUCUUGACAUCCCACUGCCCGCUAUGGAGACAUAGCUUUCCCUUCGGGGACAGUGGUGACAGGUGGUGCAUGGUUGUCGUCAGCUCGUGUCGUGAGAUGUUGGGUUAAGUCCCGCAACGAGCGCAACCCUUGUUCUUAGUUGCCAUCAUUUAGUUGGGCACUCUAAGGAGACUGCCGGUGACAAACCGGAGGAAGGUGGGGAUGACGUCAAAUCAUCAUGCCCCUUAUGACCUGGGCUACACACGUGCUACAAUGGACGGUACAAACGGUUGCCAACCCGCGAGGGGGAGCUAAUCCGAUAAAACCGUUCUCAGUUCGGAUUGUAGGCUGCAACUCGCCUACAUGAAGCCGGAAUCGCUAGUAAUCGCGGAUCAGCAUGCCGCGGUGAAUACGUUCCCGGGCCUUGCACACACCGCCCGU